rnacentral:rRNA from 1 species
GCCCUGCCGCGUGAGUGAUGAAGGCCUUNGGGUUGUAAAGCUCUUUUGUGCGGGAAGAUAAUGACGGUACCGCAAGAAUAAGCCCCGGCUAACUUCGUGCCAGCAGCCGCGGUAAUACNAAGGGGGCUAGCGUUGCUCGGAAUCACUGGGCGUAAAGNGUGCGUAGGCGGGUCUUUAAGUCAGGGGUGAAAUCCUGGAGCUCAACUCCAGAACUGCCUUUGAUACUGAAUAUCUUGAGUUCGGGAGAGGUGAGUGGAACUGCGAGUGUAGAGGUGAAAUUCGUAGAUAUUCGCAAGAACACCAGUGGCGAAGGCGGCUCACUGGCCCGAUACUGACGCUGAGGCACGAAAGCGUGGGGAGCAACAGGAUUAGAUACCCUGGUAGUCCACGCCGUAAACGAUGAAUGCCAGCCGUUCG